rnacentral:tRNA from 1 species
UAGUAAUUAGUUUAAACUUAAAACAAGUGAUUUCGACUCACUAGAUUAUGGGCUGUCAUAAUUACUAA